rnacentral:rRNA from 1 species
UACGUAGGGUGCGAGCGUUGUCCGGAAUUAUUGGGCGUAAAGGGCGCGUAGGCGGCUUUGCAAGUGACGGGUGAAAUCCCUCGGCUUAACCGAGGAACUGCCUGUCAGACUGUAAGGCUUGAGACCGGGAGAGGUGAGUGGAAUUCCCAGUGUAGCGGUGAAAUGCGUAGAUAUUGGGAGGAACACCAGUGGCGAAGGCGGGUCUCUGGGCCGAUACUGACGCUGAGGAGCGAAAGCGUGGGGAGCGAACAGG